rnacentral:tRNA from 1 species
GCCCCCGUAGCUCAGGGGAUAGAGCGCCGGUUUCCGGUACCGAAGGUCGCAGGUUCGAAUCCUGCCGGGGGCGCCA